AUGUUAUUCACAGGUCAGCUGGGGGCUCUACUCAGUGUUGUUGUCACUCCAGGACCCCGCUUGAUAGAGAAGCUGCCAUCUGGAUUAUUACAGGUUGUCAAAGCAGAGGGAAAGAGAACUCUGGCAAUUAAAUGCUUCAGCCUAAAGAACAAGGCAGGGCAUAAAACUAUUAUUAAAUCCGUUGGUACUUCCUGUUUUGGUGGUGCACUACAGAGGAUCCAACAUGAAGGAGUCUGGCCCACAGCUGGAGCGUCUCACAGUCUCGUGUACAGGGUUUCUUCUACUUCACACUCUGUGGACAAAGAAAGAAAAUGUGUGGCAGUUAAGUCUCUGGGAUCUUCUCAUCACUCCCAGCAGUUCCAGAAGACACCCCAAGGAAGAUGAAUUGGGCUGUUGACUCGGAGCAGAAGGAGACCGAGAGCCUAUGCCUCUUCCGAAAGCAAGGCACUGCCUGGUGCCCGCGUCUUGGAAUGUGCUGGCUUCAUCGCUCUGACAGCAUGAAGGAUGUUUGGUUUUGUUCCCAGUGCUGUUAUCAUUUAUCAUCCUUUUGUAAAAGCUGGCACCCUCCACCUGCCCCGUCUUCCUUCUCUCUGUCUCCCAAUCCCCACCUCCAAUCCAACCUCCCCAUUCUGCCCAUACCCCCUGCCACUGAGGGGAGCCCUCUCAUACUUUACCGCCAAGAGAGUGCUCCCACAUGGGUUUCCAGAAGCCCAAGAGAUGCCCCAAUUGAAUUCAACUGAAACAUUUGCUGAGCAAUUCCUGUGGGCAAACUAAUGUGCUUUGGAUGGUAAAAGCCAAGUCUCUGACUUCAGGCACCUUGCAUUCCG
rnacentral:lncRNA from 1 species